rnacentral:rRNA from 1 species
GUGGGGAAUAUUGGACAAUGGGCGAAAGCCUGAUCCAGCCAUGCCGCGUGUGUGAAGAAGGUCUUCGGAUUGUAAAGCACUUUAAGUUGGGAGGAAGGGCAGUAAGUUAAUACCUUGCUGUUUUGACGUUACCGACAGAAUAAGCACCGGCUAACUCUGUGCCCGCAGCCGCGGUAAUACAGAGGGUGCAAGCGUUAAUCGGAAUUACUGGGCGUAAAGCGCGCGUAGAUGGUUCGUUAAGUUGGAGGUGAAAGCCCCGGGCUCAACCAGGGAACUGCAUCCAAAACUGGCGAGCUAGAGUACGGUAGAGGGUGGUGGAAUUUCCUGUGUAGCGGUGAAAUGCGUAGAUAUAGGAAGGAACACCAGUGGCGAAGGCGACCACCUGGACUGAUACUGACACUGAGGUGCGAAAGCGUGGGGAGCAAACAGGAUUAGAAACCCGGGUAGUCC